rnacentral:lncRNA from 1 species
UCAUACAUCAUCAGUGUUGUAACAUCCCAAAAUAUGUGUAUAAUUCAUACCAAAUGGAAUGCAACAUAUUAUAAUACUAGAAAGCAGUUAGGAGUAGAAAAUAACUGUAUAAGUAUGAAUUACAGUCAUCCAAAAUAGAGGGGAAAUUAAAACGACAAGAAAUUAAAGUACACAGGUCCAAGGUUUUGCAAAAUAUGGUAAGCUAAAAGAAAUAAAGCAACAUGAUCGCCUAAGCACUAGGUGCUGGAUCUUCCUCAGUCUCCAACGCCUGCUCCAGAGAUACAUCAUCACCUACUGCUCACAUCCAAAGGAUUGGAUGAUCAUCGCAAAGGGGGGAAAGCAAACACACACAACAUACAAGUGCAAGGGUGAGCUAGGUUUCAAACGAACAUACAAAUCAUAGCAAAGUGACCAAACAUUACCGAAAACAUAAUUUCACAUGUAAACAUACAAGUCAUCAUAAUCACAGGCACUUAGUUCAUAAUUUAACCAAUCAAUCAUCUUAUCAUGCGAAGACUCCUAGACACGUCCGGACAUAGAAUGAAUGUAGAGCUGGGGCGGGUUGUGCACUUGUGAUGGCCCUACUGCUUUGCAAAGCCAUUGCCGAGGGGUUCCACCCGACCAUACACAAGGCUAGUCCGUUACCGCAGUAUAGGCCUACAGUGAAAGCGCCUACCCUAGGACUUCCCACUACUCCCACCACACGCGUCGAUCUUCUCUAAGUGAGAAUGAAAGACCGUUGGAGCGUUAGGGAUAACCCCCCAUAUGGAAGCCUCUCACCAUUCAGUCAAUACACUAAUAGAUCUCACCGAGAGAUCAUGAUUUCACAACCGAAUCCAACCACUUUAUUUCCAAAAUACAUCUCUUUGAAUCAAAAUAUACAUCCAAAUUCACCAUAUAUCAUGUACACACCAUACCACAUCAAUAAUUCUUAAUUUGCAAUAAAAUCAAUUGUACACUCAAUUAACCAAAGAAAAAUGGCUAGCACACCUAAACCGAACGUUUUAUAUAUGGACCGAACCCUUAAUGCCUUGGCUGACCACUAGGGUUGAACAGAGCGUCAGGACCGAGCACUCUUUUACAAACCAAACGGCCACGAACUAUCAUGGCUCAAAUAAGACGAACCCAUCUAUGACUGAGAAUCUUUACUAGACCGAACGGUCAUGAGAAGAACCUACUCUUUCUGACCCACAGUGCCAAACCGAACGGCUAGAAAGAGAAUCAACUCUUUUCUGGCCAUCAGCACCAGACCGGACGAUCAUAGGAAGGAACAAACCUUCAAUGACCAAGACUGUGAAGACCGAGAACUACCUGUGUCCGAGAGCAAUGCCAGACCGAGAGGACUGGACCGAACGGUUCCUACUGGCAAGUCCUAAAUGAGACAACCACUUGUAACCGAGGUUCACAUAUACGACCGGACAGUUUGAGAAGGAAACCUCCUUCUCUCACCAAGGCUCCAUGACCGAACGGUCAAGAUAAGGGGAUCCUUCUCUGACCAAGGAGACCAGACCGUACGGUCAAGAGAAGGGAAACCUUCUCUGACCGAAAGCACACCUAAGACAGAAAUAGAUCAGGACCGGACGGUUAUGGGGUGAGCAAAAUCCUCCCAUGGCAGAAAGCAAAGCUAACCGAACGGUCAUGAGAAGGGAAUACCCUCUCUGACCAAGGUAACUAGGCCGAACGGUCAAGAGGAGGGGGAACCUUCUCUGACCAAGAUAACCAGGCCGAACGGUCAAGUGAAGGAGUCAUCCUUCCCUGACCAGGCCUACAAAACCGAACGGUCAGGAGAAGGGAGAACCUUCUCUGACCAAGGCCUUCCAAACCGGACGGCCAAACUCUGCAGAAUUAUGCAGAGUUCUGCAGAAUUAUGCAGAACUCGACAGAACCAGCUAAGACCAUUUUCAACCAAUUUUGCCAACUUCUAACACUCNUAAUCUUUGUUUUAGACAUAAUUAAACUUACCUAAGUGAUUCUAAACAUUUCUAACACAUUUCUAAAGUGAUUUAAGCUUCGUUUCAACUCUAAAACACUCAUUUUCCCAACUUAGGGACCCAAAACCCAAUCUUACCAUUUGGUACCUACUUUGACCAAUUUAGUGACUCAAACAAGUCACAAUACAUUGCAUGAAACUGUCCCAAACAGUUCAUAAUCAUCAAUCAUCAAAUUCACACAACAUACACAUUUCCAUUCAUGCAUUUCAAGUCAAUAUAACCAAUUUCAUGCCUCCAACAACAUACAACAUCAAAAUUAUCAUACAUUCAAGGCAUACCACUAAAAUGAAAAUAAGAACU